rnacentral:rRNA from 1 species
UGACACAGGGAGGUAGUGACAAGAAAUAACAAUACAGGGCUUCUAAAGUCUUGUAAUUGGAAUGAGUACAAUUUACAUCUCUUCACGAGGAUCAAUUGGAGGGCAAGUCUGGUGCCAGCAGCCGCGGUAAUUCCAGCUCCAAUAGCGUAUAUUAAAGUUGUUGCAGUUAGAACGCUCGUAGUCGGAUUUCGGGGCGGGCCGACCGGUCUGCCGAUGGGUACGCACUGGUCGGCGCGUCCUUCCUUCCGGAGACCGUGCCUACUCUUAACUGAGCGGGGGCGGGAGACGGAUCGUUUACUUUGAAAAAAUCAGAGUGUUUCAAGCAGGCAGCUCGCUCUUGCAUGGAUUAGCAUGGGAUAAUGAAAUAGGACUUUGGUGCUAUUUUGUUGGUUUCGAACACCGAAGUAAUGAUUAACAGGGACAGUCAGGGGCACUCGUAUUCCGCCGAGAGAGGUGAAAUUCUCAGACCAGCGGAAGACGAACUACUGCGAAAGCAUUUGCCAGGGAUGUUUUCACUGAUCAAGAACGAAAGUUAGGGGAUCGAAGAGGAUCAGAUACCCUCGUAGUCUUAACCAUAAACCAUGCCGACUAGGGAUUGGGGGAUGUUCACAUAUCGACUCCCUCAGCACCUUACGGGAAACUAAAGUCUUUGGGUUCCGGGGGGAGUAUGGUCGCAAGGCUGAAACUUAAAGGAAUUGACGGAAGGGCACCACCAGGUGUGGAGCCUG